AGUGAACGCUGGCGGUAGGCCUAACACAUGCAAGUCGAACGGCAGCACAGUAAGAGCUUGCUCUUACGGGUGGCGAGUGGCGGACGGGUGAGGAAUACAUCGGAAUCUACUUUUUCGUGGGGGAUAACGUAGGGAAACUUACGCUAAUACCGCAUACGACCUACGGCUGAAAGCAGUGGAUCUUCGGACCUUUCGCGAUUGAAUGAGCCGAUGUCGGAUUAGCUAGUUGGCGGGGUAAAGGCCCACCAAGGCAACGAUCCGUAGCUGGUCUGAGAGGAUGAUCAGCCACACUGGAACUGAGACACGGUCCAGACUCCUACGGGAGGCAGCAGUGGGGAAUAUUGGACAAUGGGCGCAAGCCUGAUCCAGCCAUACCGCGUGGGUGAAGAAGGCCUUCGGGUUGUAAAGCCCUUUUGUUGGGAAAGAAAAGCAGCAGGUUAAUACCCCGCUGUUCUGACGGUACCCAAAGAAUAAGCACCGGCUAACUUCGUG
rnacentral:rRNA from 1 species